rnacentral:lncRNA from 1 species
UCUGUCUUAAUAAACUGUCUUUAUCUCAGCUCACCGGCUUCACUUUCCCGUUUCUCUCCCCCAUCCCAGAGAGGGAGGGAGGAGGGUGAGCGAACGGCUGUGUGGUGUUUAGCUGCCAGCCGGGUUAAACCACAACAAAUCAUUAUAAAGAGAAAAUGGAAUUUUGUUUCCUCAUGUUCUUGUAACAAACCCAUCAUCCUGUUUUUCUGUGCAGUAGGCAGUAUUCAUAGAAUCAAAAGUAGAUUGUUUAAAAACAAAAUUGAAGUUAAUUUCACCAACCAUGUGUCAGAAAGUUCUACCCAGUUUGGACAUUAUUUGUCUAUGUGAAGCAGUGAUUUCAUGUUUACAAGUUCAGCAAGACCUGAAGUGACUUGCUUUAUACAGACAUUUAGUAUUGCCCUACACACCAAUACUCCUUUAGUAUGAUAAAAUAUAUGUCUUUGCCUCUUUACUAGAAGUUACAGAGAAGUCUUCUCAUCAUCCAGCUAUGAAAAGCACCAUGACUGGUUCUGCGCAGGAGCUGCAUGAAUACAUGUGGAGCAGAAAAGUUGCUCUUUAUAGCCAGCUGUAAAAUUCUUUCAAACGCUGUGAAUGUUAAGCCUGAGAAGGUUUUUCUCAUUGGCGUUUUCUGAGAUACAGAUUAGCUUCAGCAUACCAGCCUUCAGCAGAAAGGAGAAGGAAGAUAACCCAGUUUUAUCCAGACUGGAUGCAGAGGUACUAUGUUUAUGCAUGAGCAUUCCUUGCAAUAUGGAACAGACCCUUCAGAUCCUUGCGACAGGCAAUCCCAGUGGCCUUACUCUACAAGAGGAGGAGAGGACCAUGAGCUCUUCUGCAUGUACAGCUAAAGGUUAG